rnacentral:lncRNA from 1 species
CUAGUUUUCCUUAUAUUUCUUUGUUAUAUCUAAUUUCAAUUCAUCGUAGUCUACACUAUGAAUUAGCAGGGUUUUGGCACAGUCUCUACCCAUAGAAUCCAAUGAAUAAAACAUGAUUUAUGAAGAUUUAUUGGAUAAAACCAAUCACUGGAGGAAAUGUGAAAAUGACUUGAAUUCAGAUUGUGUAUUUCAGCGUGUUAUUUCUUAUGUAUGUUAUGGUAUACACACUAAGUUUGUUGAUAUGUAGUGUAGACAUUGUUUGAAGAUGCAUGCGAAUUUAAUCUGCUCACCAGAGUAAUUCGCACAUUUUGUCAAUUUCUCUUGUCUUCAAUUGGCAAAUGUAUGUUGCCAUAUAUAACUUUGAAGUACAUUUUCAUGGCACUUGAAUUAAACAUAUUUUUGGCGUCGUAUGCAAAUAUAUGCUGACGUAAAAGAUCAUGUGGUUUUUGUCGUAGAUCUAUGAACGACGACCUUUUUUUUCUUCCUACUGUUGUCUUUAGGUUAUGCCAGAAUCUUUAGAAUUACCAGCGCUAUAUGCGCGUCACCACAGACUACUUAUAAUUGGGAAUUUUACUGCUAGUUUAUCGUCCCAGCACCGAAAGGCUCUAGGCAGAUUCCAGAAGAGGCUACCCAGAGUGCCGCUGGACCGGAGACCAAAGGAGAGCUGGAGAGGGAAGAGAGUGGAGGCGGAACUGGAGCCAGAUAGGACACCUCCACCCAGGGAAGCCCCACCCUACUGCGGAAGUGCAGUGAGUACCUUUUCACCACGGGGCAACACUCCGGUGGGGGUGGGAUGCACAGCGGGGAAACCGGUACCAGUCUAGUACAAUUGUAUUGGCUAUGCUUGCUCAAAUAGGCCCUCUUUAGACUUAGCAAUUACAAUCGGCUCUGCCUUUCAUUGACAUAAUAAUGUGCACUUUUUCAAUUUUAUUUUAUGUGACUCGUUUCAGCAAACUAGGUGUAUGUCACCUGUCACUACUUUCUAGGAGAGGCAUUUAAAUGUACUUUUUUUAAUCAAAAUGAGUUUUUUGGCAGAAAUGCCUUCUGGAACAUGUGAACUUUCAUGUGCCUUAUUAACAAUUUGUAUGCCAUCUGUAAAUAUUAAUACAAUUGUUAAAUUAUGAGCCUAGUUGGUUUAGCCACGGAUUGGUCUGCCAUGUAGCAAGCUUCUGUCUAUAACAUGAGCUGGUCAGUAUGUGUAGGUGGUCCUUUUCUAGCACAGCUUUUUUGAAAAGUAUCACGUAGGGGAACUGCAAAGGUGUUGCGCUCCACUUUCUGGAGGAGCGAGUUUUGAAAUCAGUGGAAUUAGAGUAUGAUAGCGAAGGAGAUGGAGAAAAUUCUGGCGUUUUGAUUGCAAAUUUUCAGAGGGAGUCGAAAAGAAACACACCGACGGCUGUUGUAUAAAACACCUGUCUCCAGAUUACAUCUUCAAACUCAGGGCAAUCAUGACAGAGGGAGAAGCGUCCAUCCAUGUACAGUACCAGUCAAAAGUUUGGAUACCUACUAAUUUUUCUUUAUUAUUUUUACUAUUUUCUACAUUGUAGUAUAAUGGUGAAGACAAACUAUAAAAUGACACAUGGAAUGAUGUAGUAACCAAAAAAGUGUUAAACAAAUCAACAUAUAUAUUUUUUGAAUUUCUUAAAGUAGCCACCCUUUGCCUUUGACAGCUAUGCACACUUUUGGCAUUCUCUCAACCAGCUGCAUGAUGUAGUCACCUGUAGAGGUCGACCGAUUAAUCGGAGUGGCCGAUUUAAUUGGGGCCGAUUUUCAUAACAAUCGUUUUCAUAACAAUCGGAAAUCGUUAUCUUUGGACACUGAUUUGGACAAUUUUUAUUUUAUAUUAUUUAUUUUAUUUAAUCUUUAUUUAACAAGUCAGUUAAGAACACAUUCUUAUUUUCAAUGACGACCUAGGAACGGUGGGUUAACUGCCUCGUUCAGGGGCAGAACGACAGAUUUUUACCUCGUCAGCUCGGGGGAUUCAAUCUUGCAACCUUACAGUUAACUAGUCCAACGCUCUAACCACCUGAUUACAUUGCACUCCACGAGGAGACUGCCUGUUACGCGAAUGCAGUAAGCCUAGGUAAGUUUCUAGCUAGCAUUAAACUUAUCUUAUAAAAAUCAAUCAUAAUCACUAGUUAACUACACAUGGAUGAUGAUAUUACUAGUUUAUCUAGUGUGUCCUGCGUUGCAUAUAAUCGAUGCGGUGCGUAUCGUUGCUCCAAUGUGUCCCUAACCAUAAACAUCAAUGCUUUUCUUAAAAUCAAUACACAGAAGUAUAUAUUUUUAAACCUGCAUAUUUAACUAAAAGAAAUCCAGGUUAGCAGGCAAUAUUAACCAGGUGAAAUUGUGUCACUUCUCUUGCGUUCAUUGUACGCAGAGUCAGUGUAUAUGCAACAGUUUGGGCCGCCUAAUUUGACAGAAUGUUACGUAAUUAUGACAUAACAUUGAAGGUUGUGCAAUGUAAUAGGAAUAUUUAGACUUAUGGAUGCCACCCGUUAGAUAAAAUACUGAACGGUUCUGUAUUUCACUGAAAGAAUAAACAUCUUGUUUUCAAGAUGAUAGUUUCCGGAUUCGGCCAUAUUAAUGACCUAAGGCUCGUAUUUCUGUGUGUUAUUACGUUAUAACUAAGUCUAUGAUUUCAUAAAGCAGUUUGACUGAGCGAUGGUAGGCAGCAGCAGGCACUUUUGUGUGUUUGCCAGGAUCUGUUUAUGACUUCAAGCUUAGAUUGAGAUUAGGCUGGUGUGACCGAUGUGAAAUGGCUAGCUAGUUAGCGGGGUGCGUGCUAAUAGCGUUUCAAACGUCACUCGCCCUGAGACUUGGAGUGGUUGUUCCCCUUGCUCUGCAUGGGUAACGCUGCUUCAAGGGUGGCUGUUGUCGUUGUGUUCCUGGUUUGAGCCUGAGGAGAGGGACGGAAGUUAUACUGUUACACUGGCAAUAUUAAAGUGCCUAUAAGAACAUCCAAUAGUCAAAGGUUAAUGAAAUACAAAUGGUAUAGAGAGAGAGAGUCCUAUAAUUCCUAUAAUAACUACAAUCUAAAACUUCUUACCUGGGAAUAUUUAUGACUCAUGUUAAAAGGAACCACCAGCUUUCAUCUGUUCUGAGCAAGGAACUUAAACGUUAGCUCUCUUACAUGGCGCAUAUUGCACUUUUACUUUCUUCAACACUUUGUUUUUGCAUUAUUUAAACCAAAUUGAAGAUGUUUCAUUAUUUAUUUGAGGCUAAAUUGAUUUUAUUGAUGUAUUAUAUUCAGUUAAAAUAAGUGUUCAUUCAGUAUUGUUGUAAUUGUCAUUAUUACAAAUACAUUUUUAAAAAUCAGCUGAUUAAUUGGUAUCGGCUUUUUUUGGUCCUCCAAUAAUCUGUAUCGGCAUUGAAAAAUCAUAAUUGGUUGACCUCUAGUCACCUGGAAUGCGUUUCAAUUAACAUGUGUGCCAAUCAGUUGUAUUGUGACAAGGUAUGGGUGGUAUACAGAAGAUGGCCCUAUUUGGUGAAGACCAUGUCCAUAUUAUGGCAAGAACAGCUCAAAUAAGCAAAGAGAAACGACAGUCCAUUACUUUAAGACAUGAAGGUCAGUCAAUGUGGAAACUUUCAAGAACUUUGAAAGUUUCUUCAAGUGCAGUUGCAAAAACCAAGCGCUAUUAUGAAACUGGCUAUCAUGAGGACCACCACAGGAAAGGAAGACCCAGAGUUACAGUGAGGGAAGGAAGUAUUUGAUCCCCUGCUGAUUUUGUACGUUUGCCUACUGACAAAGAAAUGAUCAGUAUUAUUUUAAUGGUAGGUUUAUUUGAACAGUGAGAGACAGAAUAACAACAAAAUCCAGAAAAACGCAUGUCAAAACUGUUAUAAAUUGAUUUGCAUUUUAAUGAGGAAAAUAAGUAUUUGACCCCCUCUCAAUCAGAAAGAUUUCUGGCUCCCAGGUGUCUUUUAUACAGGUAACGAGCAGAGAUUAGGAGCACACUCUUAAAGGGAGUGCUCCUAAUCUCAGUUUGUUACCUGUAUUAAUGACACCUGUCCACAGAAGCAAUCAAUCAAUCAGAUUCCAAACUCUCCACCAUGGCCAAGACCAAAGAACUCUCCUAGGAUGUCAGGGACAAGAUUGUAGACCUACACAAGGCUGGAAUGGGCUACAAGACCAUCGCAAAGCAGCUUGGUGAGAAAGGUGACAACAGUUGGUGUGAUUAUUCGCAAAUGGAAGAAACACAAAAUAACUGUCAAUCUCCCUCGGCCUGGGGCUCUAUGCAAGA